AGCCAGUCCUGGACCUCGACCCUUGGCUGCCCAGCCAGGAGUAUAAUUCCUGCUGAUAAUCUACAACAUUGACUUGUACAUGGGAAGGCAACCAUUUGUUAGAAAUUCUUUCCGCUACCUUUGAUCGGAAUGAAAGAAAAAAAAUCAAGAGAUAUUAAAAUCAACUACAAAGGCAAAGGAACCUGUCUUUUCAUUUCAGUUGAAUAGAAGAACUGCUGUCUCAUUAUGGUCUUUUUCAAUUAAAA
rnacentral:lncRNA from 1 species